AUUAAAUAAAAAUUAACCAAGCUUGGAGCCUCUUCAGAUUCUGAUCUCACGAUUCAUGCAUCUCCCCCAGAAGGUUUCUUUGACAUUCUUCGAAGCGAC